AACAUACCUCAUUAAAAAAAACUAAUAAAUAUUAUAAUUAUAAAUGUGGUGUUAAACCUAUAUAAGACCAUUGAAAUACGUUCACAAUAACAAUCACCUGUAAGUCUCUUUAUUGUUUGUUACGUAUAUAAAGAAAACAAAACCAUCAGCCAUGAAACUGUUACUGUUUUUUUCAGCCAUUCUCUCAAUCGUUGCUUGGGCAAGUGCAAAAUCACAACUCUUCUGUGAAGCAGCGUGCGCAAGUGACAACCAUCCCGUCUGUGGUACUGACGGAAAGACAUAUACCAACAAAUGCUUCUGCGAGUGUCGCGGUGCGAAGGUUGCCCACAAUGGCGCUUGUUAAUAACCUGAACAUGGAUAAUUCAUCUAUUGAGAACUUUGAAGCAAAUUUAAUAUAAUAUGAUCAUAAUAUUUUUAUAAUGUUAUUCAAAACAAAUUAAAGCAAUAAUUCAUUUUAAAUUUUUGUUUUAUUUAAUUGGGCUGUUGUUGGCGGUAUUGAAAUAAUUCAUCCCCUACCCUCCACCAGAAUAUGACAUCGGUACUCAAAGACUUUAUUCCAGGAGGGUACAGUCAGAGAAUCCCCCCACGAGCAUUUUCGCCCGAGCUGCCCGUCGUAUUCUGGCGAAGUCACGGAAUCACACGUGUCCGAGGACAAACGAGGCAGUUAUACCACUGCAUACACGACAGACACAGAUAUAUUUACCUAGCAAUACGUCAUAUUCCUAUAGAUCCAAAAGAAGCUUUUUGAGGCGUUCUGUAUGCAGCGAUACCCACCACCCUAGCGCCCUGGUAACAUUGGUCUAGUGAUUGAUUAGUUAUUGUGCUCGAUUUUCACUAACCGUUGCGAAAUGGCUGUCGCUUGCUGGUUAACCGUCAAACUGUCACCGAAAGGCACCGAAGAGGAUGGGAUGAAGAGUUCCAUACCUUGCAGUAUCAUAUCAGCAACAGCGUAAACAGCGGCUUCUGAAUCAUACAGCGAAAAACAGGUUUGCCUCCACGAGAAAGACGCAAAUAAAACCGCAUCUCAUCAAACACUGCUAACCUAUAGUGCCACACGCAGCAGUAAGCUAAACAAUGGAGCUGUCUGAUCCGGCGCGUGAUAGGCACAGUGCUCCGGAUCAGAGAGUGAUCAGAUGACCACAGAGGAGGGUCAGGGAAACUAGGUAGCCGCCCGGAAGUGAGGUCAACAGAAGGUUCAACACUGCAGAUGUAUGAUCGCAAUACCCAGUUGUGUCCGACCAUGUGCUAAGGCGAAGUCGUGAACAGACAUUACAUGAUCGGUGGUACGUGAGCCUCGCCAUUCAGUGUGGUGGGCGUUAAAAUCGCCAAAAAACACGAUCUCCGCUUUGGGGGUCUAUUCCUACACGGAAUCUCCAGCCAUUUGGAAGUGCUCUUGGUGCCGGGCCGAGCGGUAACGCUCUCGGAUCUUCUGGGACUCCUUUUAAUAUGGGGGUACCACAAGGGUCAAGUCUUCGACCAUUUUUUAUGAAAGAGGAGAACACAGGAGCCUAUGGGUCACCUGAUGUUAAGUGAUCACCACAGCCCAUAUUCUCUUGCAACUCCAGAGGCAUCACAGCAGCGUUGCCGGCCUUUUUAAAAAUUUACCCGCUUUUUUUAAGGUACCCAUGUCAUAUCGUCCUGGAAACACCGCACAAAAUAGCCCACAUAGCUUUGUUGAACGUGGAAGCCAGCCUCUU